rnacentral:pre_miRNA from 1 species
AGUGAAAACCACAUAUGUAGUGGAAACUUGAAAACUACCGUUGAAUCGAGAAAUGGACGUCCGAGAUUCGUCCACGUCACCACGAGUUAAAAUUUAACUCCCAGUAAAUUUUUAACUCAUGAGUGAAUCUGCGAGUUAAAUUUUAACUCGUGGUGACGUGGACGAAUCUCGGACAUCCAUUUUUCGAUCCAACGGUAGUUUCCAAGUUUCCACUACAUAUGUGGUUUGCA